rnacentral:rRNA from 1 species
GGACUACUGGGGUAUCUAAUCCCGUUUGCUCCCCUGGCUUUCGCGCCUCAGCGUCAGAAAAGGUCCAGCGUGUCGCUUUCGCCACCGGCGUUCCUUCCGAUAUCUACGCAUUUCACCGCUCCACCGGAAGUUCCACACGCCCCUACCUUCCUCCAGACCAGCAGUAUCCAAGGCCCUUUUCCGGUUGAGCCGAAAGCUUUCACCCCGGACUUGCUGACCCGCCUACGCGCCCUUUAAGCCCAGUGAAUCCGAACAACGUUCGCACGGUUCGUCUUACCGCGGCUGCUGGCAC